GCAGUGGCGAGCACGGGGGCGGUGGCGGCGGCGGCGAGGACGGGGGCGGUGGCGACUGGAACGCACGGUUUCAGCCCCGGUAGCCCCUGCACAUUCCCUUGUGUUUGGGCCACAGCUCGCGGAACCCUUCACACGGGGAACGCGUGUGCGUCUGUCCGCUCCUCCGGAAAUGGCCAAGGCUUCACACAGAUGCAGUAAGAUGUGUGAAAGAUUGGUGGAAGACGAGAUGGGAUUGCGAGGUGAGAACCAAGUGGGCUUUGAACACAUUGCCUCCUGUUUGCCAUGCAGGUGAUCUAGCCAUGCUUCCAGACCUAUCUCAACAGUUUUGAGGUUUGUUUGUUGGUUUAUAUUCACUCGGACAGUCCAAGAUAGUCUCUUGCAUCCAUUGGUAAGAAAACGUUGGGCUAGACCUAUGAUCUCAUUGAGGCCAUUUGUUUGUUUCUUUGUUGUUGUUUGCAUUGCUGUUUUUGUUGAUUUCAUUAAGCCAAAAUGCUUUGUGUCUGCUUGAAGGUAGAAGUUUCUUACAGAAUCCAAUAGCUUGGUUGAGGUACUUUUUGGAGGGAUAAGAGUUUCAGUGCUCACAGAAUUCAUUGGGAUGCAUUCUAGACAUGGUGUUUUAAGUUUGUGAGGGAUGAUUCAAAACCAUCUCCACUGGAGAGCUCUUCUACCUGAUGGAAACAUGAGGAACAUGAUAUCCCUACUCCCACCGAAAUGAUAAGGACCACUAAAUAACAGUGCUUUGAAACUUUAGGUUUAUUUAAUUACAAUAGUCAGUGUGUUUGCAUUUGUUUUGACUUAGCUUGCAAUAUUCAACAUUAGUGGAAUUUUUACCACAUUUACAAAAAUUUCUGGAUACUAAGUCAUUUGCUAGAUUCCCUUCAUAUUUAAAUUUUUAUUUUGUUACUAAGCUAGCAAUAAAUUCAUAACACAUUGUGAUAUGAAGAAAAGG
rnacentral:lncRNA from 1 species